CAGUGAGUCACCUCCUCUCCUCUCCACCGUGGGGAUCGCAGCACAGUGGUUCCCAACCUUUUUCGGCCUCUGACCCCAUUUCCAGCUCUGAAAACGUUGGAAGACGAUCCUUUCACAUUCAUGCUUCCUGAAGAACAGUCUUCACCCAAUCAACAUCUGCCGCAUUCCACUGUGACCCCAUAUGCAUAUCAGACGACCCCAAGUGGGCCCCCGACACCAAGGUUGGGAACCACUGAGCCAGCAGCAUGAUGAACGUCUUCAGGUGGAUGAGUCUUCAUGUGAUGGAUGGGCCAUGUGGAAUUUGAGGCGGUGAUUUCCUGGAUUCCCCAGCACAGCAUCAGCCCCGGCGUGUAUUGUUUCAGGACCGAUAGACGAGACUCCUAUCCCUUCAUGACCUUGUUCAGAGUGAGCGACUGGUCUCCGGCAACAGCCACUCGCUUGGAGAUGGAUGGCAUGAGUCAAAACGUGAUUUGCUAGGAAGUACAUUGCUUCUUGUAAACACUCGGGAAAUGUCCAUUGUGGACAGGCGCACGCUGAAAUAAAUUCUCACAAAAGUUGACACGUGUUGUUAGGGUUUUGUUUUCGUCGUUCCAAGCACCUUUUUUUAUGCGAAGUGGGCCAACGUGUCAAACCUCGAUUCCCCGCGCGCUUGUUGAAAAAGUUCUGGGAUUCAGGGUCCGGCUGUCU
rnacentral:lncRNA from 1 species